AUGGCCCAAGAACACGCUCAUUCUUCAGCCAUAGAGAGACUUUUGAAUUGUGAGGUACCAUUACGAGCUCAAUAUAUAAGAGUGUUAUUCUGUGAAAUAACUCGAAUUUCAAAUUAUUCACUUGCUUCAACUACUCAUGCUAUGGAUGUGGGAGCAUCAACUCCGUUCCUUUGGGCUUUUGAGGAGCGGGAGAAAUUGUUGGAAUUCUAUGAAAGAGUCCCGGGAGCCAGGAUGAACGCCAGUUUCAUAUGACCUGGUGGAGUGGCACAAGAUGUGCCUCCUGGCUUAUGUCGAGAUAUUGAUUCCUCCACACAACAAUUUGCUUCUCGUAUCGACGAAUUAGAAGAGAUGUCAACCGGCAACUGUAUCUAGAAACAACGAUUAGUGGAUAUUGGUACUGUCACUGCACAACAAGCAAAGGAUUGGGGAUUCAGUGGUGUAAUGUUAAGAGGUCGUGCGACAUGA
rnacentral:rRNA from 1 species